UACGGGGGGGGCAAGCGUUGUUCGGAAUUACUGGGCGUAAAGGGCGUGUAGGCGGCCUAGCAAGUCAGCUGUGAAAGCCCCAGGCUCAACCUGGGAAUUGCAUCUGAAACUGCCGGGCUAGAGUUCAGGAGAGGAGGGCGGAACUCCCAGUGUAGCGGUGAAAUUCGUAGAUAUCGGGAGGAACACCAGUGGCGAAGGCGGCGACCUGGACCGAUACUGACGCUGAGACACGAAAGCGUGGGGAGCAAACAGG
rnacentral:rRNA from 1 species